rnacentral:rRNA from 1 species
ACGCCGUCGCCCGCAAGGGAGGGUACACAGGUGUUGCAUGGCUUUCGUCAGCUCGUGUCGUGAGAUGUUGGGUUAAGUCCCGCAACGAGCGCAACCCCUGCAUUUAGUUGCCAGCAUUCAGUUGGGCACUCUAGAUGGACUGCCGGUGUUAAACCGGAGGAAGGUGGGGAUGACGUCAAGUCCUCAUGGCCCUUAUGCCUAGGGCUACACACGUGCUACAAUGGUGGUCACAGAGUGAAGCGAAGCCGCAAGGUGGAGCAAAUCGCUUAAAAGCCAUCUAAGUUCAGAUUGGUCUCUGCAACUCGAGACCAUGAAGUUGGAAUCGCUAGUAAUCGCGGAUCAGAAUG